rnacentral:rRNA from 1 species
ACUCCUACGGGAGGCAGCAGUGAGGAAUAUUGGACAAUGGGGGAAACCCUGAUCCAGCGACGCCGCGUGGGUGAAGAAGGCCUGCGGGUUGUAAAGCACUUUCAGUAGGGAAGAAAAGCCUGGGGCUAAUACCUCCGGGUCUUGACGUUACCUAAAGAAGAAGCACCGGCUAACCCCGUGCCAGCAGCCGCGGUAAUACGGAGGGUGCGAGCGUUAAUCGGAAUUACUGGGCGUAAAGCGCACGUAGGCGGUCUGGUAAGUCGGAUGUGAAAGCCCCGGGCUUAACCUGGGAAUUGCAUUCGAUACUGCCUGACUGGAGUAUGGGAGAGGGAAGCGGAAUUUCCGGUGUAGCGGUGAAAUGCGUAGAUAUCGGAAGGAACAUCAAUGGCGAAGGCAGCUUCCUGGCCCAAUACUGACGCUCAGGUGCGAAAGCGUGGGGAUCAAACAGGAUUAGAUACCCUGGUAGUC